rnacentral:rRNA from 1 species
UACGGGGGGGGCAAGCGUUGUUCGGAAUUACUGGGCGUAAAGGGCUCGUAGGUGGCCAACUAAGUCAGACGUGAAAUCCCUCAGCUUAACUGGGGAACUGCGUCUGAUACUGGAUGGCUUGAGUUUGGGAGAGGGAUGCGGAAUUCCAGGUGUAGCGGUGAAAUGCGUAGAUAUCUGGAGGAACACCGGUGGCGAAGGCGGCUUCCUGGACCGACACUGACGCUGAGGCGCGAAAGCUAGGGGAGCAAACGGG